GGAAGACAUUGGAGGAGCGAAGGGGGAACUAACUCACCUGAAAUGACCACUAGGAAGGGGAGGAUGGACGUGACAGGAAGACAUUGGAGGAGCGAAGGGGGAACUAACUCACCUGAAAUGACCACUAGGAAGGGGAGGAUGGACGUGACAGGAAGACAUUGGAGGAGCGAAGGGGGAACUAACUCACCUGAAAUGACCACGAGGAAGGGGAGGAUGGAGGUGACAGGAAGACAUUGGAGGAGCGAAGGGGGAACUAACUCACCUGAAAUGACCACUAGGAAGGGGAGGAUGGACGUAACAG